UUUCUUCUGUCACACUAAGACUAUGCCCCCAUGUGAAUCACAUACUCAUGGCCAAGAACCCACCUAAGCGUCGAUGGAAACACGUAUAACACUGUGUACAUGCAUAUCUCUGUGGCCACAUUGCCACUGUAAGUACACAGCAGUAGCCCUGCCAUUUCAGGGGUGGUAUCUCAGGGCUCUGUGUGUCACAGGGAGACACUACAAAAACUGCUUUGCUGUGAGGUGUUGGUACUGUCCUCCACCUUCACAUGCUUGCCGAUGUCAGUUCUUGAUCAUGUCACUUUCUGAUUGUUACUCCCCACAGAAUUGGGUAGAAGACAUGGAGCAAUUGGAUGAUGAUCUGGUUUGUCUCCUGUUCCUUACUGAGGGAUAAAUGGUUAUGCAGUGAAGUGGGUGCUCAGCAAGCUGCAGGAUGGAAUUUGGGCAGCAUUUUCUGACACAUCGAAGAUGGCUGACCCUGUGGGGCACUGACAAGUCAAUUCUGCUCACAUGGUAUAGCUAUGUGAAUGCCCGUAUUGUCACGGUGCGUCCUUCUAGUGACUGUCACAUCUGGUGAAGUAGAACCAGCACCAUGUGAUAGGAUCCAAGUUAUGGGCCGAAUGAGGCAAUGGACCUUCAUGGGGCACUCUGAUGAGCUUGCACUAACUCUCCAGCACCAGAACACUUGAUUCAGGGAAGCUGCACCAGUUCAGAAGUGGGUGGCUAUUGCCCUGUGGAUGCUGGCUACACCAGACAGCAAUAGGUCCAUUGUAAACCACUUUGGGGUUGACCCAUGCACUGU